UAUGACUCUCGGCAAUGGAUAUCUCGGCUCUUGCAUCGAUGAAGAGCGCAGCGAAAUGCGAUACGUGGUGCGAAUUGCAGAAUCCCGUGAACCAUCGAAUUUUUGAACGCAAGUUGCGCCUUAGGCCAACUGGCCAAGGGCACGUCCGCCUGGGGGUCAAGC
rnacentral:rRNA from 1 species